UACGUAGGGGGCGAGCGUUGUUCGGAAUCACUGGGCGUAAAGGGAGCGUAGGCGGGACCGUAAGUUAGGAGUCUAAUUCUCAGGCUUAACCUGAGGCCGGCUUUUAAUACUGCGGUUCUUGAGUAAGGAAGAGGGAGAUGGAAUUUCAGGUGUAGCGGUGGAAUGCGUAGAUAUCUGAAAGAACACCAGCAGCGAAGGCGGUCUCCUGGUCCUAUACUGACGCUGAGGCUCGAAAGUUAGGGGAGCAAACAGG
rnacentral:rRNA from 1 species